GACGAACGCUGGCGGCGUGCCUAAUACCUGCAAGUAGCACGCAGUUGCGAACGGUUGAGUAACGCGUAUGUAACUGCCUCAUAGCGGGGGAUCACUAUUGGAAACGAUAGCUAAUACCGCAUCCUGUGAGAUGGACCUGCGUUUUAUUAGCUAGUUGGUGAGGUAAAGGCUCACCAAGGCGACGAUACAUAGCCGAACUGCGAGGGUGAUAGGCCACACUGGAACGGAUACACGGCACAGAAUCGUACGGGAGGCAGCAGUAGGGAGUCUGUGGCAAUGGACGGAAGUCGGACCGUGAAUCGCCGCGAGAGUGAAGAAGGUUUUCGGAUCGUAGAGCGCUGGUGUUAGAGAAGCGGUAACUAACCAGAAAAGGACGGAUGACUACGUGACAGCAGCCGCGGUAAUAC
rnacentral:rRNA from 1 species